rnacentral:rRNA from 1 species
UACAGAGGUCCCGAGCGUUGUCCGGAAUUAUUGGGCGUAAAGGGCUCGUAGGCGGUUUGUCGCGUCGGGAGUGAAAACUCAGGGCUUAACCCUGAGCCUGCUUCCGAUACGGGCAGACUAGAGGUAUGCAGGGGAGAACGGAAUUCCUGGUGUAGCGGUGAAAUGCGCAGAUAUCAGGAGGAACACCGGUGGCGAAGGCGGUGAUCUGGGCCGACACUGACGCUGUAGAGCGAAAGCGUGGGGAGCAAACAGG